ACUCCUAAAAUGUCAUUCAAAAAUUAAGUAUUCUCAAAAGUAACUGUGUUAAUUCCGUAAUUGAGAUUAACGCUGUGUUAAAUGUUGAAUACGUGUGAAAGUGUCUACAAACAUUUCAGCACUAAAUAAAAAUAAUUUCUUUUUAAAUUUUAAAAUAAAAAUGCAAUUAUUUAAUAAUAUACAUUCUUAAAUAAAAAACACGCUUAAAAUGUGUUUUUAAAUAAAUGCAAAAUUCAUAAUACUUUCAUGAUAUAAUCAAUUAAGGACUCUGUCUUAUUGCGAAGACAUUUUACAUUAAUUUGAAUAAAGGUUGUGUUUAUACAGGACUCUAAUACUAAAGUUCGGAUCUCGUCUCACAUUUUUCCCCACUCCUAGCGCCGCACGCCUGCGCGUCGUGAAAAGCAGGGCCGCCAUAUGAGUGACAGUGUAGCGGUGUACGUGUCUAUUGCGUAGCAAACGAGAAACCAUCGCAUGCCGCCCUAGCUGUUUCCCGCUUAUUUCUCUCAGCGUGCAACGUGCGGUGCUUAAAGUGGAAGAAAACAAUCACACAUCACAUGCGUUGGAAGUGAUUGAAAAACAAUUGUCGGGUCGUCGUUCGUCGUCAGUCGUCGUCGUAUAUACUCGUAUAUUUGGACGUCUUUGUACGUGUUUGUUACAAAAAGUUUUUCUCUGCUGAAUUGCAAAUGCAAUUAUCUUUAGACUUUGUGUUUAUACUGCGUCAUUACAUGAUCUUUAAUUCAUUUUUAUACUUUGGAAAGUUUCUGCUUUAAUUCGUGCAAGAGAAGUCGAGUGAAUAAGUGAAAAUUUUGUUAUAUAUAUCAUUAUUGCUUGAAACAAAAAAGGAAAGAAAUGGAAAGCAAACUCUUAAUAGACAAUAAAUCGUGCGUACUCGUGGAAUUUUCAAACGAAGAGGAGGCUUUAGCCAUAGGUUAUAAAUGUUGGCUAAAUGAAACCGUUACCGAAGAGGAACUCAAUAAUAUUAUUGAAAGCAAAAGAGAGGUGGAAAUAAUGUGGCCAAAAUGUGAUGUACACUCAGCCCGUAAAAUGAAAAACAUAUUGAAAGGUUUAACACAGGAACAGUGAGAAAUACAUGCUAUUAAAGUUCUUGGAUUUGGUGGGGAGUAAUUAUUUAAAAAUAAAUUAUUUUAAUCGCCCAUGAACUUUUAAAAUAUAGGUUAUGUACAUAGAAGCAAUAAAACUGGACAAGCAUGAGUGCUGAAUUAGAUUUGUUACAAAAAAACGACGUUCUCUGUACAACGAAGCAGUAUAGGCAUCUGAUUAUAAAAAGAACUUUUGCGUCUACAGGCAAGAGAGACAAAUCUAUUAAAAAGGUUUUUGUAUUUAUAUUUUAAAUUUGUUUUAGCUGAAUUAAAGUAUUUUAUUAUUAUCUUGGAUAACUUCUUUGAUAAUUUACAUGCAAACUGACAUCAAAUUUGAUUAAAUAUGACUAUAGCCAUAUAUUAUAUUUUUUGUUCGUCUGCUUGUUGUUAUCAAAAAUCUUUGGCAUGUUCUGUUUAAAAUUUGCUCUGUAAAUUUUGUUAACUGUUAUUUUGUAUAACAUUAAAAUUGAAGAUACUAAAGAUGAAAAUAUCGUAAAUGAGGAUGAUAUAUUAAAUGAUGAUAUUGAACCACAUAAUUUGGAAAGCUCAUUGGUAAAUUAUAUAGUUUUACUAAUAUUUAUAUAUCUUAAAUUUUUUAAAAUAACUUUUACAUUAAUGUAUAUCUUCUUUAAAUAUUAGAAGAAUACUUGUUAGACAUUACAAAACUAUCUGAUUCAAGAGGAAUAAACACACACACACACACACACACACAUUUUUACAGUACUAAAUAGAAAUACUUUUUGUCUAAAUUAUAAAUUUUGUUUGUAUUUUUAUACAAAGGUAAAUCUAGGAUAUAAAGUUAAAUCACAUGAAAAUAUUUUGAAGGAAAAAAUUCGAAAAAAAGACAAGAGACAUCUGUUAUUGGAUCUACUAAAUUCUUUGUAUACAAAAGAAGAUUUUGCUACCUGUUCCAGAAGUGGGUAAAAAAAGAAAAUCGAAAAUUAGACAAAAGAAAACAAAAAGCUAUAGUGGACUAUGCUGUCAAGAUACAUGCACAAAAAGACAAACAGGAAAUCGAGGUUUUGUUAAAGAUCAUUGAAAAUAAA